CGGAGGACGCCUGACUUGACCUUCGCCACCCGAGCUGGUUGGGGAGUUGCAGCGAUGUGACAAGAUCGAAAUUGGGGAGGAAAAGAGGGGUGAAAUAACAAAUGAAAAAAACACACAUAGGCUAUUGAUUAUAGUGUCUCAACAUGAUUAGCUUUAUGAUGUCUCUAGGGCUGCGUUUACACAUGCAGCCCAAUUCUGAUCUUUUUGACCAAUUACAUCCGAUCUUUUCACACUAGAUAUUUUUCAACACACACACACACACACACACACACACACACACACACACACACACACUGUAGCUCAGUCAGUGAAACUGUGUAAAACACAGAUGUUCUCCCAUAUAUCGUCAUGGCAACUGAAGAGACAACAUGAGCUGGCUGGUAGAGCUGGUCUAAGGUAGGAACCACUGAAGAAGAGACAACGUGAGCUGGCUGGUAGAGCUGGUCUAAGGUAGGAACCACUGAAGAAGAGACAACGUGAGCUGGCUGGUAGAGCUGGUCUAAGGUAGGAACCACUGAAGAAGAGACAAGGUGAGCUGGCUGGUAGAGCUGGUCUAAGGUAGAAACCACUGAAGAAGAGACAACGUGAGUUGGCUGGUAGAGCUGGUCUAAGGUAGAAACCACUGAAGAAGAGACAACGUGAGCUGGCUGGUAGAGCUGGUCUAAGGUAGAAACAACUAGAAUCACAAGGCAAGACAAUACAUUUUUCAUAACAACAGUGGAGAGAGAUCACAACAAACAUGACUAGAAAUAUUGUGAUUGCAUAGAAUGUAUAUAAUUGCAUCUAAUACUGUAGCCUACCUGUUCUUGUAUGUACCAAUUUAUCACCACACAUGAAAUUCCCAAGCUGGAAAUUAAAGUCAACAGAAUUUAAUUCGAAUUUGAAUUGGUCAGAAUCGUUCAGAACCCGCUUUAGGUUCAAAUGAACAGUAGGGAAAGGUCUGAGCUGUCACCCUUCAACACGUGAUGCUGUUAUUCCAUUCAUCAACCUAGAAAGCAUGACACUUGAUCACAUAGGAACAGAUGAGUUAUUUCAGUUGUGUAUAUUCUAAGUUGUCUGUCUGUCUGCCUGUCUGUCUGUCUGUCUGUCUGUCUGUCU
rnacentral:lncRNA from 1 species